AUGCUCACCACCCUUCUGUCUGUCACUCAGCAUCUCUGCAAUCCCUCCCACAUCUCAUGUUUGUAUCGCCGGCUUGCUGCCUACAAGCUUUGGUGUGAGUGAGAAUGUACACCUCUGACUGUCUCACUCUCUCAUCGAAGGAAAAUGAGCAUUGGAGCCAGGCUGGAAGAUGGAGCCAAGGUUGCCUGUCGCGAGAUGGAGCCGCAAAGGCAGGGCCUGGGCGCCUGGAGUCCAGCAUGAAAGGAAAUAGCGCCUCAUCGCUCUUAUCUAAGCCCAGAGCCGCCUCCUCGCCCUUGCUGGCCUCUGCGGAGAUUCCAGGCCCUCCGGAGACCAGGAGACCUCAGCGGCCACCGCCCCUCGUGCCAAUGCUGCCGGGAAACCACCGAUACCCGCACCGGGCAAGAGAACUGCGCUGGGGGCCACUGGAGGAGGCGGGAACAAGGGAGGGAUGGGGGGAGGGGGAGGGGGCGCAAACCCACAGAGGCCAUAGUAACCGGCUUCUGCCGGCGCCCCCCCAAGCCCAAACGCCCCCAUUCUCUCUUUCGCAGCCCCCUUGCUUAAACCUCUCCUCCCAGCUUAAAAACGAGACUCAGAGCUCACCUCCGUGGCCCUCUUUCGGUUCCUCCUGUGGUCAGCCCUGCCUUGCUUCCCCUCCAGGAAGCAGCCGCCCCUCUCUAGGCCACCCAAUUUCCUGGGAAGCCUCUCCCUGCAGCGCCCAGAGGUGGGGUUCAGCCCCAUCUUGGAGGGGGGAGAAGGAGGGAGACAAACCCAAGCCCCACCCCCUACAAAAUCAAUGCAAAAAAUACGAGAAUUGUAGCAUCUCCCUUACCUUUGCAGACCUUGGGAUUUCUUUCUUCCGAUUGAAAGGGGUGGGGAGAAAGGAAAGGGAAAAAAAAAAAAAAAAAAAGAGCGUUUGGUUUCUUCUUCAUCUUUCAGAUAAUAUUGUCCCAACCUGAGAGCCGUUGCUUCCUCUUCUCUGACUUGGGAGAGAGGGUGUUUCGCUUUUCUGAUAUUUGCAUAUAAAAUGGAGUAAGUUCUGGCUUUGAAAAAUGGUAUCAGGCUGCAGUCCUGGGCAGGUGGUCCAUUUACACUCCAUGAUGACUAAAAUCCCAGAUCAGCAAGCAAAUUAACUUAGAAAUGAAAAUUAUUUUUGAUUCUCUCUUUUGUGUAAUUCCCACCCCCUCCUUCCCUCUCUCUCUCCCUCUCUCUCCUUUCCUCCUCUCCCCCUCUCCUUUCCUCUCUCUCUUUUGCUUUAUCGAGCUGAUACUGAAGUAUAAAAAUAUCAAGAGGCUGGAGCCCUGAAGGACGACAGUGCUCCGACCUAGGUGUGGUGUCCAAAAGAAUGCUGCAUUAUAACCACCAGGGAAAUGAUAAAAAGUUCAUGUUCACGAUCGCCCGGCCACAUGACCGGCGCUGGCCAAUCGCUGGAUUCAACCACUCAUAAACUUCUAUCACAAAGUUGUAAAUUUUCAUAAAACAACAAGGAAUUUAUUGCAUUUCUUCAUGGCUGCUCCACCAGCAACCCUUUUCUCAGUCGCCAUCUUCUUUUCUUCUCCUUCUCGGUUUUUGGGGAAACCCCAGUCUGAGAUGGGGUGAGAUUUGGGGUGCAGGGAAUCAGGCGGAGAAGCCCCAAGCGCAUAGCUGGGAAGGGGGUUCUUUUUGGAACCUCCCUAUCCUCACAGGAGCUCUACCCCCUUCCUCUAGUAAAAAUUCACCCCCAAACCUCCGCACAGGGACCGGUCUAAGGCUGUUUGAGGGGGAGUCGGGAGCAGCAGCCCAGGGUUCAGAGUUGCCACUUGCAUGAGGGCAAAAUGAAAGCUUCAGUGCCCCUUUCCUCCUCCGAAUGACACCCUCACUCCCAGCCCUUGUGAGGCUUGCAGCAUUGCAGGUGUGGGGGCCCCAGAUCCCUUAGGGCCUAGUGUUUGCCCCCAGAAGGGAGGUGGCCCUAAUGGAGUUCUAGGCCGACGGUCUAGCCACCAGAUGGUUGCCUCUGUACCCCAGAAAUUGGAGGAAGGUAAAGACGGAACCUUGUCUCUCUCGCCCAAAUGUCCAGGUGCCCAGGUUCCCAGGAUGACUCCCUGAACUCUCUUUGGGGGGGGAGGGUCCUGCGGUCCUUAAUGGGGGGAAAUUGCAGGUUUGGGAGGCUUUUCUUUACACAUUCAAAUUAAAUGGAUUCUCCUAAAGUGCGCUUCCUCCCAGCCCUCUUCCCUUUCCCGUCCCGAUGCCGAUCUUUAAAUUCAAUCCAGGAUGUAUAAUCGAAUAAAGACUAAAAAUCAGCUCAGCAGGUCUAGCUGUGUAGGCGCCAGCCUCCGGGUUUUUAUCUCUUGAUCAAGGGGGUGUUUGGGGAGAAAAAAAAAAAAAAAAAAAAAAAAAAAAAAAACAAUAACCCAAAUUCACCCUAUGUAUCCCAGGUCCCUGAAAUACUCCCGCAUUUUGAAUUGCGCUACCGGCACUCAAAUGCAGGAAAGGAUAGAACCUCCCCCUCCCCCCCCCCCAAUUUUUCUUUCUCUUUCUCUGUGCUCCGGAGAAGAUUCCAGG
rnacentral:lncRNA from 1 species